AGUGAACGCUGGCGGUAGGCCUAACACAUGCAAGUCGAACGGCAGCACAGUAAGAGCUUGCUCUUACGGGUGGCGAGUGGCGGACGGGUGAGGAAUACAUCGGAAUCUACUUUUUCGUGGGGGAUAACGUAGGGAAACUUACGCUAAUACCGCAUACGACCUACGGGUGAAAGCAGGGGAUCUUCGGACCUUGCGCGAUUGAAUGAGCCGAUGCCGGAUUAGCUAGUUGGCGGGGUAAAGGCCCACCAAGGCGACGAUCCGUAGCUGGUCUGAGAGGAUGAUCAGCCACACUGGAACUGAGACACGGUCCAGACUCCUACGGGAGGCAGCAGUGGGGAAUAUUGGACAAUGGGCGCAAGCCUGAUCCAGCCAUACCGCGUGGGUGAAGAAGGCAUUCGGGUUGUAAAGCCCUUUUGUUGGGAAAGAAAAGCAGCAGGUUAAUACCCCGCUGUUCUGACGGUACCCAAAGAAUAAGCACCGGCUAACUUCGUG
rnacentral:rRNA from 1 species